CCUACGGGAGGCAGCAGUGAGGAAUAUUGGUCAAUGGCCGAGAGGCUGAACCAGCCAAGUCGCGUGAGGGAAGACGGCCCUACGGGUUGUAAACCUCUUUUGUCGGGGAGCAAAGCGAGUCACGUGUGACUCAUUGAGAGUACCCGACGAAAAAGCAGCAGCAAACUCCGUGCCAGAAGCCGCGGUAAUACGGAGGAUGCGAGCGUGAUCCGGAUUUAUUGGGUUUAAAGGGUGCGCAGGGGGAGGUGCAAGUCAGCGGUCAAAUUGCGGGGCUCAACCCCGUACUGCCGUGGAAACUGCAUGCCUUGAGUGCGCGAGAAGUAUGCGGAAUGCGUGGUGUAGCGGUGAAAUGCAUAGAUAUCACGCAGAACUCCGAUUGCGAAGGCAGCAUACCGGAGCGCAACUGACGCUGAUGCACGAAAGCGUGGGUAUCGAACAGGAUUAGAUACCCCGGUAGUC
rnacentral:rRNA from 1 species